rnacentral:rRNA from 1 species
GACAGCUCAAAUUUGAAAUCCCCCGGGAAUUGUAAUUUGAAGGUGGCCUCAGUUAGUCCAAACAUUCUUAAGUCCAUUGGAAAAUGGCGCCAUGGAGGGUGAUAGCCCCGUAAAGAUGUCGUUUGUUCUAUUUUCUCUGGCCACCAAAGAGUCNNAGUUGUUUGGGAAUGCAGCUCUAAGUGGGUGGUAAAUUCCAUCUAAAGCUAANUAUUGGCGAGAGACCGAUAGCGAACUAAGUACAGUGAUGGAAAGAUGAANAGCNCUUUGAAAAGAGAGUGAAAAAGUACGUGAAAUUGUUGAACAGGGAAGGGCUUGCAAGCAGACACAACCUCGUGUUGGGCCAGCAUCGGGGCGAGAGGAAGUAAAAACGAUUUGGAAAUGUAACUUUCGAGUAUUAUAGACCUUAUCCCUCCCUUCCAUCUCAUCCCGAGGCCUGCGGUUUAUCCUAAGAUG